CAUUCCCAGCCACUCGAGUCCCCUUUGAAGCAAGGAAAAUAACCAAUGAAGAUAACAGGCCAGUAGGUGGGUUUUCUCUUCGUGGUUCCCUUGUGUCUGCACUGGAGGAUAAUGGUGUUCCUACUGGAGUUAAAGGUAAUGUCCAAGGAAACCUCUUCAAAGUGAUUACGAAGGAUGACACACACUAUUAUAUCCAGGCCAGCAACAAGGCUGAGCGAGCAGAAUGGAUUGAAGCUAUCAAGAAGCUAACAUGAUCUAAGGAGCAGACCAGGGUCCUCAUUGGAUACAGAUGAGACUACCUGGAGAACUGGAGUACUUUUGGGGCUGGGGAUGUGGCUCAGUGUUAGAGGACCUGCCUGGCAAUCUUGAGGCCCCAGGUUCAAUUCUUGGUACCGUUUAAAAAAAC
rnacentral:lncRNA from 1 species